rnacentral:rRNA from 1 species
UACGGGGGGGGCAAGCGUUGUUCGGAAUUACUGGGCGUAAAGGGCUCGUAGGCGGCCAACUAAGUCGGAUGUGAAAUCCCCAGGCUUAACCUGGGAACUGCAUCCGAUACUGGAUGGCUUGAAUCCGGGAGAGGGAUGCAGAAUUCCAGGUGUAGCGGUGAAAUGCGUAGAUAUCUGGAGGAACACCGGUGGCGAAGGCAGCUCACUGGGACGGUAUGGACGCUGAGACGCGAAAGCGUGGGGAGCAAACAGG